ACUCAAAAUUAAGAUUGAGGUACUAAUAUAAAGCAAAUUUGAGCUCCAUAUCCCAACAUGUCAAUGCGAACAUUCAUGUCUCAAACUUCUUGGCUUUUGUUAGGAUAAUAACACUGAUAUGUUGCAUGGGAAAAAGCUAAAAUUUCCUUCUAUUGGUGGUAUUUACAGUUACAUUUUUCACUCAUUGCCCCUUUCUCUGCAUUGAAAAUGCAUUGGAAAUACAUGAAUUAGUUGGGUUAUGUGGCAGCUCUCUCUUUUUCAUGCUUUCAGCUUUUCUAACUUUAUCUUGCCAAUCUUAUGUUUUGGUGGUGAAACUCGAAACAUAAUAUGCUUUUGAUUCUUUAUAUCUGUAAGUGCUCAUUAGGGAUCUCUUUUCUAUUCAAGCUUGUAUUUUCUUGUUCAAAUUUUAGGAUUCUUGUGGCCAUAUGAAACCACUUGCCGUUGCUGUUGAUUCUCCCCUGUGUCCACCAAAAGAUAUCUUGGAACGACUUGCACUUCCACCAUCCAAGGAUUUGGACUCUCUGCUUCUGGAUGCUGUGAGGCCUGCUUCAUCUUCAAGAACUGGCACUGACCUCCGUUUAGGGAAGACAGUAUUUCAUCGAACUGGCUUGCCGCCUUUUUCUUGGUCUCAUAAUUCCUCUGGCCAUGUUAAAUCUGGUUCAGAUACAGUUAAGUUAUCUGCUAAUAGGACCACAUGCCCAGGUAGAUGGGUAAAAGUGGGAAACACUCUUACUCCUGUGAAAGGCUCAAACCUUUCGAUGUUAGAUUUGAAGUCGCUCACUUAUAAUCACAGACUAGUUCCUUCAGGAAAUCUACCAUCUACACCUUUGGGGUAGAAAAUGCCUCAUCCAUAUGUCUAAACAUUAGUUCCCGUGAACAGGGUGUAUCAUCAUCAGCAGCAUUCUCAGCUUCCCAGGACCCUUCAGAUGAGUUGUCUCCCAGACUUUUAGCUGCUGCUCAGACACUCUAUGAAAUUGCAUCUCAUUCCACGAGGCAGAACUCACAUGAAAUGAUGAAGUGGUUGAAGCAACCUUCCCAGAAGACCAUGAAAGCUUGCACGCUAAAAUUAAGUCAGAAAUCUGAAAAAUUCUUUGUGCCUCCAAAAGCAUCAAUAGGACCCGAUAAUCUGGUCAAAGUCGCUGAUGGUAUGUUUCCUAGCAAGAAGCUUAGACUUUCAGCGGAUGAAAAGACUGAUGCUAUUUGUCAUAUAAAACCUGGUAAAAGAGCUCCAACAAAUUGGUCUGCGCCCAGAUCAAUUAGAUCAUCUCCUAGCAAGCUAUUUAGGGAUUCGGUGCCUGAGAUGAAAAAUUACAAUAGGCAUAUUGUCAACAAAUCGUAUAUGAUGCCACCACCUAGUAGGGUCGCUGAUAAGCUUGUAAUAGUAGGCAGAAGCUGAAGAAGAUAGUGCCGAUGGAUUGGAACUCAACAGCCAGCGAUCUGGAUUGAUGAGUUCCUUUUCAGGCUUAAUAAACAGCUUUCUGUCAGACUUAUCAUUUGUUCAUUUCAUCACCAUAGGAUCAAUAUUAGAAGUUUGUAGGUUUGUACAUACUAUGUUGCCUGUAGGAAGGAAUGUUGUAACAUUAGCUGUAAGAUCUACACAAGAUAUUGCACG